ensembl:lncRNA
AAAAGAUGGCGCAAAGGAAGGCGUGUGCCUCGGAUGUAAAACUCGAACAACGUGUAUGUGGUUUAUUCCUCCAUGAGAAGUACGAGAUACCACGGUAUUUCCUGCCCUAGAGAAUGGAACCCGCAACACUAUUUCAUUUAAGGGAGGAAACACUACGAACAUGCAAAAGCAUUUGCUCACAAAACACGCGAUGACCUUAAGUGAAUGUCGUGUUUUUAAUUCCGCUCCGGACUCGUGAAUCUCAGCCCAGCAGCAGCGGUAACGUUUGCACGUCCUCUCCCGUUAAUGCGGCAGGUGACCAUGAUGAGAGAGACAGACAGAGUCUGGCUGGCAGUUCUCGCUGCAGUCUACCGGUAGCGUCUCCUUUCAGGCCAGGAUGAAUGUCACCGAGCAGUGACUAAGUUUGUGGUCAAAGGCAUUUGCCACAGCAGAUGCCCCCGAUUUUCGGUAGAGGGUGGCAUCCUUCGACAGAGUUACAGUCCAGGUCAAUCCCUUUGAACCACAGGAAAGCAGCCACCUGUUGUUCUGUGGAGCUAAUGUCAAGCUCUCCAGGUUCCUCAUCGCUGUCAGUGGUCACCGCCUGAGCAUAUGACCGGGGUUUAAUAUGAAGCCCAGUGAUGAUGAUGUUGUUUAUCCUGGAAUAUUGUUUCAGGUCAGCGACCCUACUUUCCAGGUGGGGAUAAGCUGGAGGUGGAGGUGAAGUGAGGUCCGGGCGAGUACUGAGACCUUUAUGGGUGCGCAGGGAGGCAGGCAGGUGAGAUUGGCAGAUUGCCUGAAAAGGAUUAAGCAGCUGCUGACCGGAAUCCAGAAGCUUGGCUAUGGCAGGGUUUGGAUGACGAGUCCAGGUACCGACUAGGAGACAGGAAGAGAGAGGGUCUGCAGCCUUAAAGGCCGCAAUUUUAAGGCCGAUUACGUCACAGCGACGCGACGAAGGCUGUCCCAAUUCAAAGGCUGCUCAAAAUGCGGCCCUAAAAUGCGUCCUUCAUUUCCCUGAAUUUUAAGGAUGUGGCGGUGUAGACUUCAUGGCCCAACAUAUCCCAGAAUUCAUAGUGCGCCGGUGGGUGUGGAUAAUUUUACCAAAAAAAACGGUGGAAGCGGAGUGGCGAAAGAGUAAACUUUUAAAAGCCGACGGCGAGUUAAUAAGAGGAGGAUCCUCGGAGACCUUCACUUUCACCGUCCGUGCCUAUGCAUCAAUAUAUCGACACAAGGAUCUGUAAAGGGAUGCAAAGUAAAAGCAUACACAUGUAAAAAAGUCUGUGAAUUAAGAAAUAAAGAAAAUCAUGUCGGAAGAACACAGCAUUCCUGACGCUUUGUUGGAAGCCGUGGCGGAAUUGAACAGAGAUUCAAUUCCGCCACGGCGGAUUCAAUUCCGGAUUCAAACACGGCGGAAUUGAAUCGGAUUUAUACAUCGG